rnacentral:rRNA from 1 species
UACGGGGGAGCAAGCGUUGUUCGGAUUUACUGGGCGUAAAGGGCGCGUAGGCGGUCAGCACAAGUCAGUUGUGAAAUCUCCGGGCUUAACUCGGAAAGGUCAACUGAUACUGUGCGACUAGAGUGCGGAAGGGGCAACUGGAAUUCUCGGUGUAGCGGUGAAAUUCGUAGAUAUCGGGAGGAACACCAGUGGCGAAGGCGGCGAUCUGGGAGAGUACUGACGCUGAGGUGCGAAAGCGUGGGAGCAACGGGAUAAGAAAC